GUAGAUGUAGCUCAGUUGGUAAAGAGCUUGCCUAGUAUGCACAAAGCCCUGGGUUCAAUCCCCUGCAUUAAAA
rnacentral:tRNA from 1 species